GACGAACGCUGGCGGCGUGCCUAACACAUGCAAGUCGAGCGAUGAAGUUUCCUUCGGGAAAUGGAUUAGCGGCGGACGGGUGAGUAACACGUGGGUAACCUGCCUCAUAGAGGGGAAUAGCCUCCCGAAAGGGAGAUUAAUACCGCAUAAUAUUACAGUUUCGCAUGAAACAGUAAUUAAAGGAGCAAUCCGCUAUAAGAUGGACCCGCGGCGCAUUAGCUAGUUGGUGAGGUAACGGCUCACCAAGGCGACGAUGCGUAGCCGACCUGAGGGGGUGAUCGGCCACAUUGGGACUGAGACACGGCCCAGACUCCUACGGGAGGCAGCAGUGGGGAAUAUUGCACAAUGGGGGAAACCCUGAUGCAGCAACGCCGCGUGAGUGAUGACGGUCUUCGGAUUGUAAAGCUCUGUCUUUGGGGACGAUAAUGACGGUACCCAAGGAGGAAGCCACGGCUAACUACGUGCCAGCAGCCGCCGUAAGAC
rnacentral:rRNA from 1 species